rnacentral:misc_RNA from 1 species
UGGGUUUGUGAUAAAAAAAGGUUUUGAUUUGGGGGUUGCCAUUUCUAAUGCAUUGAUAGACAUGUACGGUAAAUGUAGCUGUGUUGCUGACGCUUUUGAGGUUUUCCAGACGAUGGAUGAUAAGGAUAUAUUUUCAUGGAACUCAAUAAUUUGUGUGCAUGAACAAUGUGGUAAUCAUGAGGGUACUUUGGGGCUUUUCAAAAGGAUGUUGUCUGCUAGAGUACGUCCUG